CUGCGAAUGGCUCAUUAAAUCAGUUAUCGUUUAUUUGAUGGUACCUUACUACUUGGAUAACCGUGGUAAUUCUAGAGCUAAUACAUGCUGAAAACCCCGACUUCGGGAGGGGUGUAUUUAUUAGAUAAAAAACCAACGCCCUUCGGGGCUCCUUGGUGAUUCAUGAUAACUUCUCAGAUCGCAUGGCCUUGCGCCGGCGACGGUUCAUUCAAAUUUCUGCCCUAUCAACUUUCGAUGGUAAGGUAUUGGCUUACCAUGGUUUCAACGGGUAACGGGGAAUUAGGGUUCGAUUCCGGAGAGUGAGCCUGAAAGACAGCUCACACAUCCAAGGAAGGCAGCAGGCGCGCAAAUUACCCAAUCCCGACACGGGGAGGUAGUGACAAUAAAUACUGAUACAGGGCUCUUUUGGGUCUUGUAAUUGGAAUGAGUACAAUUUAAACCUCUUAACGAGGAACAAUUGGAGGGCAAGUCUGGUGCCAGCAGCCGCGGUAAUUCCAGCUCCAAUAGCGUAUAUUAAAGUUGUUGCAGUUAAAAAGCUCGUAGUUGAACCUUUGGCCUGGCUGGCAGGUCCGCCUCACCGCGUGCACUUGUCCGGCCGGGCCUUCUCUUCUGGAGAACCGCAUGCCCUUCACUGGGUGUGCUGGGGACCAGGACUUUUACUUUGAAAAAAUUAGAGUGUUCAAAGCAGGCCUUUGCUCGAAUACGUUAGCAUGGAAUAAUAGAAUAGGACGUGCGGUCCUAUUUUGUUGGUUUCUAGGACCGCCGUAAUGAUUAAUAGGGACAGUCGGGGGCAUCAGUAUUCAAUUGUCAGAGGUGAAAUUCUUGGAUUUAUUGAAGACUAACUACUGCGAAAGCAUUUGCCAAGGAUGUUUUCAUUAAUCAGUGAACGAAAGUUAGGGGAUCGAAGACGAUCAGAUACCGUCGUAGUCUUAACCAUAAACUAUGCCGACUAGGGAUCGGGCGGUGUUUUUAUUUUGACCCGCUCGGCACCUUACGAGAAAUCAAAGUG
rnacentral:rRNA from 1 species